GCUGACGAGUGGCGGACGGGUGAGUAAUGUCUGGGAAACUGCCUGAUGGAGGGGGAUAACUACUGGAAACGGUAGCUAAUACCGCAUAAUGUCGCAAGACCAAAGAGGGGGACCUUCGGGCCUCUUGCCAUCGGAUGUGCCCAGAUGGGAUUAGCUAGUAGGUGGGGUAACGGCUCACCUAGGCGACGAUCCCUAGCUGGUCUGAGAGGAUGACCAGCCACACUGGAACUGAGACACGGUCCAGACUCCUACGGGAGGCAGCAGUGGGGAAUAUUGCACAAUGGGCGCAAGCCUGAUGCAGCCAUGCCGCGUGUAUGAAGAAGGCCUUCGGGUUGUAAAGUACUUUCAGCGGGGAGGAAGGCGAUAAGGUUAAUAACCUUGUCGAUUGACGUUACCCGCAGAAGAAGCACCGGCUAACUCCGUGCCAGCAGCCGCGGUAAUACGGAGGGUGCAAGCGUUAAUCGGAAUUACUGGGCGUAAAGCGCACGCAGGCGGUCUGUCAAGUCGGAUGUGAAAUCCCCGGGCUCAACCUGGGAACUGCAUUCGAAACUGGCAGGCUAGAGUCUUGUAGAGGGGGGUAGAAUUCCAGGUGUAGCGGUGAAAUGCGUAGAGAUCUGGAGGAA
rnacentral:rRNA from 1 species